GACAGACACACACACUAACAGAAAUGCAUACACAUUAACUGACAGAUGCACACUCAGUGUAAGAGACACACACUUUCUCUCUCUCUCUCUCUCUCUCACACACAAAUACACAUACACAUCUGACAAUGUCAGAAGAAAGAGGGAGUAUAAAUGUAUUCCAACCCAACAGUAGGUAGGUGGUACAUGUCAAAGUAACAUCCACAUAAAUGACAGGACCCAAGGUUUCCCAGGAGAACAUUGUUCAGAGCAUAACACUGCCUCCAUGGGCCUGCCUUUUUCCCAUAAUGCAUCC